ensembl:lncRNA
GGUAUAUACCCAUCACCAUCAAGAUAAUAUAUACCUGGGAAACUUCUAAAUGAUAAGAUGCCCAAGCAUAUUCUUUACCACUGAGCCACUGGAGAAGCCCUUAUGUUGUAUGCAUUUAUAAAACUCUAGCCCUAUACUGAGAACAAGUCAGUGGCAGACCCUGAGCUACAGCUAUGGCAUCUAAAAUAUCUUCUGUUGAUCCUUCUGUCAUCUUUAGUGAGUCAAGUUUAGGCAGUCAUUUAAGAGGGUAUGUCUGGACACAGACAUGCAUAGAGGGAGAAUACCACAUGAAGAGAAAGGCAAAGAUUAGGUGAUUCAGCAGAAGUCACAGGAUGUCAAAGAUUGCCAGCAAAACUACCAGAUGCUAGGAGAGAGGAGGCAUGGAACAGAUUCCUCCCUCCCAACUCUUAGAAG